CCGCGAGGCCGCUUGCAGCGGGAGGCGCCUGCUUCUUUCCUUAUUCCCAAGACCAGGCAUCGAGAGCCCCCACCUGGAGCCAUGGCAAGCCCCCCAGGCAGCCCUGAAGAUGCAGACAAGCUGAGAGGAGGCAGGGAGGGCCGACAGAGCAGGGAGGACGAUGCUCCGGAGCAGAAGAGGUUGAGGCUGGGGCUGCGAGCGGGAAGCGAGCCCCAGGACGGAGCCACGACACCGCGUCCAGCCCGGGACGAGCUCGACGCCCACACAGGUGGCGAAGGCAGAAGUGAUCCACUGUCUCUGCCUCCCAGCCUGGUGGAGAGUCAGGUUUUGGUGAGUCCUGCUGUUGACCAAACUGAGAAUAAAGCUCAUGGAGGUGGUUCUGACAGACCAUACAGAGCAUGAGGGGCCGGCCACUCAGGAGUGGAUCUGCAGUGUCCCUGCUGAUGGGUAGGAUGGUUCUCUGUUGUUUCACAAGCUUGCCCUGCUGAGAGAGAAACCUGGUUACCUGGGCUCAGGCAUUGCAUUGGAAGUGUUUCUGUUGGCCUCUCUCAAACACGGACUGCAUAGAAACAAAGAUCUGAGACACAGCCCACGUUGACUCUACUGACAGCCAGACAAAGAACUCUGCUGGUCAGGAUGUUUGCGAUAAAAGAAAAAUUAUUUCCUUUUAGUUAACAGUCAGUUUUGUCUUGUUUUGUUUUUAAUUUUGCCUCUCCUUAGUGAUCGCCUGUUGAUAGUUUAAUGGUACUCCAGACCCA